CGGGGACCUGCUGCCUAUGUCGGGGCGGCACUUGCCCUCCAUCCUGUCCAGCGGGUUGGGUGCACAGCGGUGGCUCCCAUCGCCCAUAGUCGUGGCCUGAUCGAACAUCUACAACUAAGUUAGAGUCUCUCUGAGAGAUGAGCUGAGCAUGCCCACUUCUUCCUCAAAUGAAAACAGAAGUAGAUCCACUUAUAAAGGCAUGGUGGGGUCCAGGAGCGGAACCGGUUUGCAGUUCAGGUGUGGCGGCAUGACGCACGGUCCAGAAUCCGAACCAGGAGGAGGUUUCGCCGGCGGGCUAAGGGGAGGAGACCUCGGGCUUUUUAUUCAAGCAGCAGCAGCCAGGAGGUGCAGGUGGAGAUGCAUGGUGAAGAUCUGUGGAGGAACAGGGAGGUGCCACAAAAAAGCUCACACACUGCUCACCCACGGAGAAAAAAAGUGAGAGGCGGUGCGCAGGAAAAGGGAGGAAAAAAUCUGAGCAGCAGGUACAGUUCAGAACAAAUUAGAUAAAGUUUCUGCUGGUUUGUCCAGAUCAGCUCACUUCUAGUCACACUAGCUGCCUUGGCGGAUCCUUGGAGUGUGUGAUGGUGGUGGUGCCACAUAAAGAAGGUCGGCGCACAGGAAAAAGAUGUCUUAGAUAAAUCCCUUCUAUGGGGACUGUUAGGAAAGGGGAAAAUACCAGCGGUCAAAUAAAGUUUGGAGCGCCCUUCUUAGGUUUGUUUUUGCUGUUUAUAGUUUGCUUAAGAGCAGAACCAUCAGGUUCCACCCUGUCUUAACGAACAGAGCAGAGGAUGGUGAGGGGAGGACGUGUGGGUAAUGUUU